rnacentral:rRNA from 1 species
GACGAACCGAGCGAACGUUGUUCGGAAUUACUGGGCGUAAAGGGCGCGUAGGCGGCCUGUUAAGUCGAACGUGAAAUCCCCGGGCUCAACCCGGGAACUGCGUCCGAUACUGGCAGGCUUGAAUCCGGGAGAGGGAUGGCGGAAUUCCAGGUGUAGCGGUGAAAUGCGUAGAUAUCUGGAGGAACACCGGUGGCGAAGGC